UACAGAGGUCCCAAGCGUUGUUCGGAUUCACUGGGCGUAAAGGGUGCGUAGGUGGUGAGGUAAGUCGGAUGUGAAAGCUCGGAGCUCAACUCCGAAAUGGCAUUGGAAACUACCUUGCUCGAGGGUUGGAGGGGGGACUGGAAUACUUGGUGUAACAGUGAAAUGCGUAGAUAUCAAGUGGAACACCAGUGGCGAAGGCGAGUCCCUGGACAACUCCUGACACUGAGGCACGAAAGCUAGGGGAGCAAACAGG
rnacentral:rRNA from 1 species